UGUUUAGACUAGAGCAUCUACUUCUGAUUUUCAGUGUUACACGCGUGAAGAAUUCGUUGUUUUGUUAUUAUUUACUUAUUAAUUAUGUCUAUUAGUUACUUUUUACUAUAUAUUCUUUAAGAUUUGCGUUACAUCUUCGACUUUUUAACUUCAGUGGCGAUUCGACUAACUUGAGUUGGCGUAGUUACGAGUGAAGUAGUCUCCAGUUGUCCGCCGCACCGUUUGGUUAGGUCGGCCAAACCAAACUGUGCGACUCAGAGGCAAGUGGGAGGGAUUGUUGGUCUCAUGCUCCGCCGGCCGCAGACCUUGCGGAAACUAGCGUGGGGGAGAUUGACCGCGGUGGACCUAGGUCAGUUAUCUUCGCACGGUUGGCGGGGCCAGUGUUGAGGACUCAACAAGACGGAUCCUUGUAAGACUAUUCAAAAAUGAGCUUGCGAGAGAAUUUAGUUGGGAAGGAAGAGGAGGAAAGAAGUGGAGUCUGCAGAACUCUGCAUUGGUGCAGUUGAUUUGCCGUGUAGUUCGUCAACAACACCCGUCCUCAUUCGAUCUCACAACGUUUGAGAAAAAAACCAGCGAAUGGUUACGCCAAGCAGGAACAAGGAUUUAUGUCAAAAAUAAAAAUUUAGGCCUACCGCAGAUUAUCAAUUAAAUAGUUUUUUCUUGACAUUUC